rnacentral:sRNA from 1 species
AUAUAAACCUGAUUGAAGCGGGUAGCUCCCGAUUUUUUUCUAAUCGGGACUACAAGCAAAAAGCAGGUCUAACA